ACGUUUAGAUGUCGAGCAUAUAAAUUUUUGAAAUUUAAGGGUUAAACUACUGUUUAAAAAUGUAAA
rnacentral:tRNA from 1 species